AUGCCUUACACAUGCAAGUCGAACGGCAGCACGGGAGCAAUCCUGGUGGCGAGUGGCGAACGGGUGAGUAAUACAUCGGCACGUGUCCUGGAGUGGGGGAUAGCCCGGCGAAAGCCGGAUUAAUACCGCAUACGCUCUAAGGAGGAAAGGGGGGGAUCUUCGGACCUCUCGCUCAAGGGGCGGCCGAUGGCAGAUUAGCUAGUUGGUGGGGUAAAGGCCUACCAAUGCGACGAUCUGUAGCUGGUCUGAGAGGACGACCAGCCACACUGGGACUGAGACACGGCCCAG
rnacentral:rRNA from 1 species